rnacentral:rRNA from 1 species
UACAGAGGGUGCAAGCGUUAAUCGGAAUUACUGGGCGUAAAGGGUGCGUAGGCGGUUAUAUAAGUUAGAUGUGAAAGCCCUAGGCUUAACCUGGGAACUGCGUUUAAUACUGUAUAGCUAGAGCACUGAAGAGGUUAGUGGAAUUUCCAGUGUAGCGGUGAAAUGCGUAGAUAUUGGAAGGAACACCAGUGGCGAAGGCGGCUAACUGGUCAGAUACUGACGCUGAGGCACGAAAGCGUGGGGAGCAAACAGG